ensembl:snoRNA
AAGACUAUACUUUCAGGGAUCAUUUCUAUAGUUUUUGACUUGAGAAAUGUGACUCUAAUUUGUAUGGUCUCGCUAACCACGAUGAUGAGUUGGUGAUACUUCUGCUUGAGCGCGAAGCGGGUAGAGAGUGAUGAUUAAGUUCAUGGGCUCUUUACUUUUGAUGACCGUUCACUGUUUCUUCGGAAAUAGCGAUGGCGGAAGUAUGAUCAGAGUGGUU